rnacentral:rRNA from 1 species
GAUCUCUUGGUUCUGGCAUCGAUGAAGAACGCAGCGAAAUGCGAUAAGUAAUGUGAAUUGCAGAAUUCAGUGAAUCAUCGAAUCUUUGAACGCACAUUGCGCCCGGCAGUAAUCUGCCGGGCAUGCCUGUCCGAGCGUCAUUUCAACC